rnacentral:sRNA from 15 species
UUAGUUACAGUUUCAGUCACAGUCUCCAUUUCGACAGUUGUUUUUGGCAACAAAAUUGUACUCCAGUAAAUAGAUUAGAUAUUUCUUCCUACAAAAUAUGAGCAAACCCUCAAAAACCUCGGAAAAGGGGGACAUUCCUAAACUACAGAAACGCAUUGCCAAAUGCAGAAGGCGGCACAAGACUAAUCAAAAGGCAUUGCAGCGGUUGCAAUUGAGGAUUUUCAUCAGGAAAACUAUGAUCCUAGAGCUGGAGAAGAGACUUUUGGGCAAAAGAAAGCGCUAGACAGGGAGGAAGGGCAGCUAGAGAUCAUAGAACUGCAGGAGGAGGUCUACAGCUCUGAAGGGAAAGCUUUUCUUAACACAAACUUAAGGCGGAACCCUAAAGAAGGGAUUAAGAAUUGAAGAACUGCCGAGGAAACCUUUUCUGGGUGAAGAAUCUCAAAUAGAAAACGCUAGAAAUGCCUUAAGUAAAGGCAUUUUAGGAGCUAGAGAUCAUAGAAGUGACGAAAGAGGUAUACAGAUCUGAAGAAAAGGCUUUUGUUGUAAGGAAAAUUACCGGAAACUCAAGGCGGAACCCUAAUCCAGAGGUUGGGGUUUGAAGAACUGCAGAGAAGACUUGUCUGGGCGAAGAAUCUCAAUCAGAAAGCGCUAGAAACCCGUUGAAAGGCAGCCAGAGAUCAUAGAACUGAGGCUAGAAGUCUACAGAUCUGAAGAGAAGGCUUAUCUAAAGGCGGAACCCUAAGGAAGAGACUAAAGAUUGAAGAACUGCAGGGAAGACUUGUCUGGGCGAAGAGUCUCAAUCAGAAAGCGCUAGAAACCCAUUGAAAGGCAGCCAGAGAUCAUAGAACUGAGGCUAGAAGAGUACAGAUCUGAUGAGAAGGCUUAUCUAAAGGCGGAACCCAAAGGAAGAUACUAAAGAUUGAAGAACUGCAGGGAAGACUUGUCUAGGAGCAGAAUCUCCAUGUGAUCUAUGAUCUCUAAAGAACAAAAAGAAACCUCCUUAAGCAGAUGAUGAUCAGGCAACAAAAUGACUCAAAAACCAUCCAGAAAUAACCUCAAGACAUUCGUUAUAUGGGAAACAGAAGAACUUACAAGAUAUUCAUUGGGAAACCUCUACAAAAAAUAAGAGAUUGAAGCACAAACUCGAGCCGCAACCGCCACAAAAGCUUGUCUGAAAAGAAAUCCUGUCCAUCGCCAAGAAACCCUGACAACAACCCGUUCAAAAUCAAUUCCCUUUUGUCUCGAAUCGAACAAAAAUAAACUAUAACAGAAUCAAACCAAAUCAAAGCAACUGAAGGGAAGUAAUGGUAUCCUUUACGGGUAUAUCCUUGUGUUGAAUGGAAAGUUUUCCACAACAUUAAUAAAUAUUUACAGGCACGUCGCGUUCUUCCACCAAAUGGUCCAAUGGUCCAGUCGUCGUCGUAGUCGUCGUCGU